CCAGCCAUGCCGCGUGUGUGAAGAAGGCCUUUUGGUUGUAAAGCACUUUAAGCGAGGAGGAGGAGCUCUUGGUUAAUACCCAAGAUGCUUGGACGUUACUCGCAGAAUAAGCACCGGCUAACUCUGUGCCAGCAGCCGCGGUAAUACAGAGGGUGCAAGCGUUAAUCGGAUUUACUGGGCGUAAAGCGCGCGUAGGUGGCCAAUUAAGUCAAAUGUGAAAUCCCCGAGCUUAACUUGGGAAUUGCAUUCGAUACUGGUUGGCUAGAGUAUGGGAGAGGAUGGUAGAAUUCCAGGUGUAGCGGUGAAAUGCGUAGAGAUCUGGAGGAAUACCGAUGGCGAAGGCAGCCAUCUGGCCUAAUACUGACACUGAGGUGCGAAAGCAUGGGGAGCAAACAGGAUUAGAUACCCUGGUAGUCCAUGCCGUAAACGAUGUCUACUAGCCGUUGGGGCCUUUGAGGCUUUAGUGGCGCAGCUAACGCGAUAAGUAGACCGCCUGGGGAGUACGGUCGCAAGACUAAAACUCAAAUGAAUUGACGGGGGCCCGCACAAGCGGUGGAGCAUGUGGU
rnacentral:rRNA from 1 species